rnacentral:rRNA from 1 species
UACGUAGGGUCCGAGCGUUGUCCGGAAUUAUUGGGCGUAAAGGGCUCGUAGGCGGUCUGUUGCGUCGGGAGUGAAAACUUACAGCUUAACUGUGAGCGUGCUUUCGAUACGGGCAGACUUGAGGCAUUCAGGGGAGAACGGAAUCCUGGUGUAGCGGUGAAAUGCGCAGAUAUCAGGAGGAACACCGGUGGCGAAGGCGGUUCUCUGGGAAUGUCCUGACGCUGGAGGAGCGAAAGUGUGGGGAGCGAACAGG